rnacentral:rRNA from 1 species
AUCUGGGCGGCGGAAUUCAGGAUGGCUGACGUGCCUUCGCGGUGCGUCGGUCGUUUGAUAUUUCCGUCGCCAACAACCGCAGACGUCGCGACCUGUUCGCGGUCGGUCCCUGCUCGGAGGAGCCGCGUUCGAGCUCGUUGUGUGCGCGUUUCGGCGUGUCACACGGCGAAGGCGCGGAUCUCUGGCUGGCCGUCGGACAGUAUGCUUAACGGUGUCCGGUGUCGUCGUUUCGUACGCGCGGCACCGGUACCGGUCAGCGACGAAUUCUUCGGGCCUCUUUCCGACCCGUCUUGAAACACGGACCAAGGAGUCUAACAUGCGCGCGAGUCGCGGGGUAUCGAGCGUACUCCGGUGCGUUCGUUAUGUUGCGAAACCCGUACAUGUCGAAGGCGUAAUGAAAGUGAAUGGGGAAGAUGGUGUUCCGAGUUCACGUUCCGCGAUCAUCGGUAUCGCGGCCGGACGCCCGCAUUCCCGGGGCGUCUCAACGGCCCGUCGCUGAUGCGGACUGUCGUCCUUCGGGGCGGCUGUCGGUCGGCGACGAACCGA